GUGCCAGCAGCCGCGGUAAUACGUAGGUCCCGAGCGUUGUCCGGAUUUAUUGGGCGUAAAGCGAGCGCAGGCGGUUAGAUAAGUCUGAAGUUAAAGGCUGUGGCUUAACCAUAGUACGCUUUGGAAACUGUUUAACUUGAGUGCAAGAGGGGAGAGUGGAAUUCCAUGUGUAGCGGUGAAAUGCGUAGAUAUAUGGAGGAACACCGGUGGCGAAAGCGGCUCUCUGGCUUGUAACUGACGCUGAGGCUCGAAAGCGUGGGGAGCAAAACAGGAUUAGAUACCCUGGUAGUCC
rnacentral:rRNA from 1 species